GAGAACUUGGAAAUUACUAUUGAAUCGGAAAAUGAAUGUCCGAGAUUCGUCCACGUCACCAUAAGUAAAUACUCAUGAGUGAAUCUGCGAGUAAAAUUUUUACUCGUGAUAACGUGGACGAAUCUCGCACGUCUAUUUUUUAUUUCAACGGUAGUUUUCAGGUUUCC
rnacentral:pre_miRNA from 1 species